rnacentral:rRNA from 1 species
AUUGAACGCUGGCGGCAGGCCUAACACAUGCAAGUCGAACGAGUGGCGGACGGGUGAGUAAUGUCUGGGAACCUGCCUGAUGGAGGGGGAUAACUACUGGAACGGGUAGCUAAUACCGCAUACUAUCAGAUGUGCCCAGAUGGGAUUAGCUAGUUGGUGGGGUAACGGCUCACCACGGCGACGAUCCCUAGCUGGUCUGAGAGGAUGACCAGCCACACUGGAACUGAGACACGGUCCAGACUCCUACGGGAGGCAGCAGUGGGGAAUAUUGGACAAUGGGCGAAAGCCUGAUGCAGCCAUGCCGCGUGUAUGAAGAAGGCCUUCGGGUUGUAAAGUACUGUCAGCGGAGAAGCGGUACCCGCAGAAGAAGCACCGGCUAACUACGUGCCAGCAGCCGCGGUAAUUC